rnacentral:rRNA from 1 species
GACGAACGCUGGCGGCGUGCUUAACACAUGCAAGUCGAACGGAAAGGCCCUGCUUUUGUGGGGUGCUCGAGUGGCGAACGGGUGAGUAACACGUGAGUAACCUGCCCUUGACUUUGGGAUAACUUCAGGAAACUGGGGCUAAUACCGGAUAGGAGCUCCUGCUGCAUGGGGGGGGUUGGAAAGUUUCGGCGGUUGGGGAUGGACUCGCGGCUUAUCAGCUUGUUGGUGGGGUAGUGGCUUACCAAGGCUUUGACGGGUAGCCGGCCUGAGAGGGUGACCGGCGACAUUGGGACUGAGAUACGGCCCAGACUCCUACGGGAGGCAGCAGUGGGGAAUAUUGCACAAUGGGCGGAAGCCUGAUGCAGCAACGCCGCGUGCGGGAUGACGGCCUUCGGGUUGUAAACCGCUUUCGCCUGUGACGAAGCGUGAGUGACGGUAAUGGGUAAAGAAGCACCGGCUAACUAUGUG